AUGUAUCUAAAUCGCAGUACUGACAUGAUCAUGAUCGGGGGUCGGCACCCCAUAAAAGCAUACUACUCCGUUGGUUUCAAGUCCGAUGGAAGAAUCACAGCCUUGCACCUUGACAUACUGAUCAACGCUGGGAUUUCUCCAGACAUGAGCCCCCUAAUGCCAGAGUAUAUUAUGUCAGGCCUGAAGAAAUACAACUGGGGUGCUCUCUCGUUUGACAUCAAGGUCUGUAAGACAAACAACACAUCCAAGUCAGCAAUGCGUGCUCCUGGAGACACGCAAGGCUCAUUUGUCGCUGAAGCCAUAAUCGAGCAUGUCGCUACGGCGUUGUCACUCGAUGCUAAUAGUGUCAGGCAAAGGAAUUUCCACACCUAUGACAGUCUUGUGAUGUUCUAUCCAGAAAGCGCAGGUGAAGCUUCUACGUACACAUUGCAUUCUAUCUUCGAUAAGUUGCUCACGACGUCAAGCUACCGGCAUUGA
rnacentral:rRNA from 1 species